rnacentral:misc_RNA from 2 species
CAACCCUCAAGCUCUGCUUGGUGUUGGGGCCCUACGGUUGACGUAGGCCCUUAAAGGUAGUGGCGGACCCUCUCGGAGCCUCCUUUGCGUAGUAACUAACGUCUCGCAUUGGGAUUCGAAGGGACUCUUGCCGUAAAACCCCCAAAUUUUCUAAU